rnacentral:lncRNA from 1 species
CUGAUUUGAGCAUCGGAUUAUUCAUUAAUAUGAUGGUUUGGGCGGCAUCAUAGAACCAAUGAGCUCAGUCGGACAGAGAUGAAAAAAGACGAAGAAGGUGCGUCAAACGGAAUCGUACCUGCACAGUGCAAACGAGCCGGAGAAAUGACGCGGGCCGGAGGAGGGGAAUGGAGAGACCGAUGACGACAUGCCGAGUGCCCAGGUGAAGAUUAGUGACGAGUACACCCGCUGUGGUGGCCGGCACACGGCAGAUGCCCAGCUUUUGGCGCUGGAGGCUCGGCCUCUCGCGGCGUCGCCGCUGCCGUCCGGCGGGCCUCCCCCUGUCAUAUUUUCAAAUCCUCUGGUGGGUAAGUAAUCAUCAGGCGGGAAGGUUAAGGCUAGGCGAUGAAUGGCAGGCAAGGUCAAUGAUCGAUUCCGCAAUUCCGAUUAAUUUCGAGAUGGAACCCACGUGCAACAUCCGAUCCGCAAC